GAUGAACGCUGGCGGCGUGCCUAAUACAUGCAAGUCGAGCGAAUGGAUUAAGAGCUUGCUCUUAUGAAGUUAGCGGCGGACGGGUGAGUAACACGUGGGUAACCUGCCCAUAAGACUGGGAUAACUCCGGGAAACCGGGGCUAAUACCGGAUAACAUUUUGAACCGCAUGGUUCGAAAUUGAAAGGCGGCUUCGGCUGUCACUUAUGGAUGGACCCGCGUCGCAUUAGCUAGUUGGUGAGGUAACGGCUCACCAAGGCAACGAUGCGUAGCCGACCUGAGAGGGUGAUCGGCCACACUGGGACUGGGACACGGCCCAGACUCCUACGGGAGGCAGCAGUAGGGAAUCUUCCGCAAUGGACGAAAGUCUGACGGAGCAACGCCGCGUGAGUGAUGAAGGCUUUCGGGUCGUAAAACUCUGUUGUUAGGGAAGAACAAGUGCUAGUUGAAUAAGCUGACACCUUGACGGUACCUAACCAGAAAGCCACGGCUAACUACGUGCCAGCCGCCGCGGUAAGAC
rnacentral:rRNA from 1 species